CUGAAGUAACAAAUGCCCUGCUUCCAGGAAAAGCCUCUAAGCAUCAGGUAACAUCAAAUCGUACCCCAAACCGACACAGGUGGUCAGGUAGAGAAUACCAAGGCGCUUGAGAGAACUCGGGUGAAGGAACUAGGCAAAAUGGUGCCGUAACUUCGGGAGAAGGCACGCUGGUGUGUAGGUGAAGUCCCUGCGGAUGGAGCUGAGACCAGUCGAAGAUACCAGCUGGCUGCAACUGUUUAUUAAAAACACAGCACUGUGCAAACACGAAAGUGGACGUAUACGGUGUGACGCCUGCCCGGUGCCGGAAGGUUAAUUGAUGGGGUUAUCCGUAAGGAGAAGCUCUUGAUCGAAGCCCCGGUAAACGGCGGCCGUAACUAUAACGGUCCUAAGGUAGCGAAAUUCCUUGUCGGGUAAGUUCCGACCUGCACGAAUGGCGUAAUGAUGGCCAGGCUGUCUCCACCCGAGACUCAGUGAAAUUGAACUCGCUGUGAAGAUGCAGUGUACCCGCGGCAAGACGGAAAGACCCCGUGAACCUUUACUAUAGCUUGACACUGAACAUUGAGCCUUGAUGUGUAGGAUAGGUGGGAGGCUUUGAAGCGUGGACGCCAGUCUGCGUGGAGCCAACCUUGAAAUACCACCCUUUAAUGUUUGAUGUUCUAACGUUGGCCCCUUAUCGGGGUUGCGGACAGUGUCUGGUGGGUAGUUUGACUGGGGCGGUCUCCUCCCAAAGCGUAACGGAGGAGCACGAAGGUUAGCUAAUCCUGGUCGGACAUCAGGAGGUUAGUGCAAUGGCAUAAGCUAGCUUGACUGCGAGCGUGACGGCGCGAGCAGGUGCGAAAGCAGGUCAUAGUGAUCCGGUGGUUCUGAAUGGAAGGGCCAUCGCUCAACGGAUAAAAGGUACUCCGGGGAUAACAGGCUGAUACCGCCCAAGAGUUCAUAUCGACGGCGGUGUUUGGCACCUCGAUGUCGGCUCAUCACAUCCUGGGGCUGAAGUAGGUCCCAAGGGUAUGGCUGUUCGCCAUUUAAAGUGGUACGCGAGCUGGGUUUAGAACGUCGUGAGACAGUUCGGUCCCUAUCUGCCGUGGGCGCUGGAGAAUUGAGGGGGGCUGCUCCUAGUACGAGAGGACCGGAGUGGACGCAUCACUGGUGUUCGGGUUGUCAUGCCAAUGGCACUGCCCGGUAGCUAAAUGCGGAAGAGAUAAGUGCUGAAAGCAUCUAAGCACGAAACUUGCCCCGAGAUGAGUUCUCCCUGAGACUUUAAGUCUCCUGAAGGAACGUUGAAGACGACGACGUUGAUAGGCCGGGUGUGUAAGCGCAGCGAUGCGUUGAGCUAACCGGUACUAAUGAACCGUGAGGCUUAACCUU
rnacentral:rRNA from 1 species